UACAGAGGGUGCAAGCGUUGUUCGGAAUUAUUGGGCGUAAAGCGCGUGUAGGCGGCUUUGCAAGUCGGGUGUGAAAGCCCUCAGCUCAACUGAGGAAGUGCGCCCGAAACUGCCUUUCUUGAGUGCCGGAGAGGAAAGCGGAAUUCCUGGUGUAGAGGUGAAAUUCGUAGAUAUCGGGAGGGAACACCGAGUGGCGAAGGCGGCGACCUGG
rnacentral:rRNA from 1 species